GACGAACGCUGGCGGCGUGCUUAACACAUGCAAGUCGAACGGAAAGGCCCUGCUUUUGUGGGGUGCUCGAGUGGCGAACGGGUGAGUAACACGUGAGUAACCUGCCCUUGACUUUGGGAUAACUUCAGGAAACUGGGGCUAAUACCGGAUAGGAGCUCCUGCUGCAUGGUGGGGGUUGGAAAGUUUCGGCGGUUGGGGAUGGACUCGCGGCUUAUCAGCUUGUUGGUGGGGUAGUGGCUUACCAAGGCUUUGACGGGUAGCCGGCAUGAGAGGGUGACCGGCCACAUUGGGACUGAGAUACGGCCCAGACUCCUACGGGAGGCAGCAGUGGGGAAUAUUGCACAAUGGGCGGAAGCCUGAUGCAGCAACGCCGCGUGCGGGAUGCCGGCCUUCGGGUUGUAAACCGCUUUCGCCUGUGACGAAGCGUGAGUGACGGUAAUGGGUAAAGAAGCACCGGCUAACUACGUG
rnacentral:rRNA from 1 species